GACGAACGCUGGCGGCGUGCUUAACACAUGCAAGUCGAACGGAAAGGCCCUGCUUUUGUGGGGUGCUCGAGUGGCGAACGGGUGAGUAACACGUGAGUAACCUGCCCUUGACUUUGGGAUAACUUCAGGAAACUGGGGCUAAUACCGGAUAGGAGCUCCUGCUGCAUGGUGGGGGUUGGAAAGUUUCGGCGGUUGGGGAUGGACUCGCGGCGUAUCAGCUUGUUGGUGGGGUAGUGGCUUACCAAGGCUUUGACGGGUAGCCGGCCUGAGAGGGUGACCGGCCACAUUGGGACUGAAAUACGGCCCAGACUCCUACGGGAGGCAGCGGUGGGGAAUAGUACACAAUGGGCGGAAGCAUGAUGCAGCAACGCCGCGUGCGGGAUGACGGCCUUCGGGUUGUAAACCGCUUUCGCCUGUGACGAAGCGUGAGUGACGGUAAUGGGUAAAGAAGCACCGGCUAACUACGUG
rnacentral:rRNA from 1 species